rnacentral:rRNA from 1 species
CCUACGGGAGGCAGCAGUGGGGAAUAUUGCGCAAUGGGCGAAAGCCUGACGCAGCGACGCCGCGUGAGGGAUGAAGGUCUUCGGAUCGUAAACCUCUGUCAGCAGGGAAGAACGGUCACUGUGCUAAUCAGCAGUGAAUUGACGGUACCUGCAAAGGAAGCACCGGCUAACUCCGUGCCAGCAGCCGCGGUAAUACGGAGGUUGCGAGCGUUGAUCGGAAUUACUGGGCGUAAAGCGCUCGUAGGCGGUAUGUCAAGUCAAGGGUGAAAGCCCCGCGCUCAACGUGGGAACUGCCUUAGAAACUGGCAAACUGGAGUGUGUGAGAGGAGAGUGGAACUCCAGGUGUAGGAGUGAAAUCCGUAGAUAUAUGGAGGAACAUCAGUGGCGAAGGCGACUAUCUGGCACAUAACUGACGCUGAGGCUCGAAAGUGUGGGUAUCAAACAGGAUUAGAUACCCGUGUAGUC